GUCAUUUCCGGGGAGGGUCGGAAGUCGUUAGAUGCGCCCGAGAGUGGGCAUGUCUUGGGGGGCGGGGGGGCUCUUCUGAGCGCGAGGCCCCGCGACGCGGGUGAUGUCCCCUCGCCGGCGGCCAGGGUGGCCCCCAGCGGCGCAGCCUGCGGCAGCUGAGCACAACCCCCGACACUUGGCUGGUGAUUUUGGGUCUUUACCACAAGCCAAGGCUGUAUUUGCAGUUAGGGAAACUGAGGCCCGGCGGGGAAGGAACUCGGCCGGAGUCGCACGGAGGGAAGGGUGCGAUCGGAAGCCGCCUCUGGGGCCGCUGGCCGUGCUUCCCCGCCUCCGUGUGCUCCCCGGGAGCCGUCGCUCGGAGGCCUGGCUCCUGGAGCCAACGCGGAGGGCCCGGUUCCGCUAGUGGACGGACCGCCGGGGCGGGCGGAGCCUCGCCUGCCGCCGUCACUGCCUCUGGGGCCCCAGCAUCGGGUGCAGGCCCGGAGGUCAGCAUUCCAGCAGCCCUCGAAGGAAGAUGGCACCUCUUUCCUGAUAAUGGUGGAAGAUACCCUGAGGCUGGUUCUCCUGGGCCUCCUGUGGAAAUGGAGCAGAGGCAUGUACUGAACACGUACAGCUUGGUCUUUGGACAUGUGUGUGCCCAUGGAACUGCCACUGGGACAGCCGGGGUGCCCACUGGCGUUUCCUCCUGCCCCUCUGGACCCUCGCCCACCCCCUCCUGGCCCCCGCAAGCACUCAUCUGCUGUCUCCGGUCGGUCCACCUGCAUUAUUAGACUUUUCUAUACAGGGAGGCAUACAGUGUGUUCUCCUUGGUGUCUGGCUGUUCCCAUGCAGCACAGUUAAUUCUGAGAGUCCCUGGUGCCUUCCUUCCACAGAGGGGCAGACCUGUGUGCUGACCCGCUCGCCUGCUGGAGGGCAUUCGGGUUGUUUCCAGGUUUCGGCGAUCACAGCUGUGGCCCAUGAAUAGCCCUGCCCAGGUCUUUGCGUGGACGUGUGUCUUCAUCCCUCCGGAGAGGAUUCUGGGUGGCCAGCUGGCUCACAGCGGGGAGCCUGUGUUGAACCGUGGACAAAACUACCCAGCUUUUUUUUUAAACGGAGGUGUACCUGCUAUAGAAGGUGAGGUCGGUGUCAGGCGCCCAGGGGUCCGCCAGCCAAACUGUUCUGGAGGAGUUGCACCUGUUCAUGUUCCUGCCAGUGAGGCGUGGGGUUCCUGCUGUACUGGGGCGUUUUACCGCUUUAGGAAGGACACACACGCUCCCUGUUCCCCAUGGUCACGGUGACAGCUGCACGCUGGGUGGCUUGAAACAACAGGGUUUCACGCUGUCCCCACCGUGAAGGCCGCAAGCCCCCCAUGCGAGUGUCACAGGGCUGCGCUCCCGCUGUCCCUCCCAGCUCCGCCUUUGUCGCAUGGCAUCUCCUCUCUCUUAUCAGGAUGCUUGUCAUUGAUUUGGGGCCCCUCCUACUUCAGGAUGAGCUCAUCUCAGGAUCUGGAAUUACACCUGCAAAGGCCCCCUUCCUGAAACGUGGAAUCACCAUGGGCCCCUCCCUGUCACUCUGUGACUGCUGGCUUUGCUCGCCGUGGGCCCAGUCAAACCACCGUUGUGUCUGUCCCCCAAAGAGACGCUCAAGUCCUGCCCCCCGGGACCUGUGAAUGGGACCUUAUUUGGAUACAGGACCUUCGCAAGUACAGUCAGUUCAGAUGAGGCCGUACAGGAGGGGGGAGGCCGUGCUGCAGCGAUUGGUGUCCUCGGAAGGGGGAAAUCUGGACGCAGACGCACAGGGACGCAGCCACGUGCCACCGAGGCAGGCACUGGGGCGAUGUGACCGCACGCCGAGGGACGCCUGGGGCCUCGGGAGCUGGGAGAGGCAGGAGGGACCGUGCCCUGGAGCCUGCGGAGGGUGCGCGGCCCCGCCACACUUGGAUCUGGGACGCCUGGCCCCGGAACGAGAGAGAAUAAAUCUCGGUGGUUUGAGGCCCCAUCCCUGAGUGUGGACUCCGUGGCCGCUGCCCCCAGAGACUCAGACCCAGGGCCAAGGCCUCUGCGCCUGCGUGUGCUGCAGAACCCCGUGCCCCCUACCUGCCGUGGCAGCCCCUUCCCGCCUGGAAGCACACCGCAGCUGAAAGGUGCAGGGGACAGCGUGUGGCCAUACGAUGUCACCUUUAUGCUACGGUGCCAUGAUACACAGGUCUCCAGGUCCCCUCUGGAGAGGCUCCCUUAAAACAUCCCGAAGAAUCCAGCCCGCCGCGUUGACACUUGUGUGAAAUUUUUUUUCUUAAAAGUUUUGUUUGAAAACCUGUUACCUUGAGGCACUUGGCACAGUUUUCCCAUACUACUGGCUCCUCCCGGCCCCCAGGGCCACUUACGGGCGUAGUAGCUGGGGGUGGGGGGCGGGGGGCAGAGGCUCCGUGUAAGACCAGAAGCCGAGUGAGAGGGACACAGAGGCAGGACCCACCAGACCCACACAGACCGGGGCAGUCACCAGGGAGCCCCUCGCCAGCCACUGGCUCCUCACUGCCCGCUGACCGGUCUGGGGGGGGGGGUGGCAGCAGGCCCAAGGGGAGGACCCAGGUGACCUCGGGGCCUGGGAGGCAGCUCGCAGUUCCCGCCUGGCGCUUCCCUUGCGGUGCCCCGCUCCCUGGCCUGGGGGAGAGCCAGUCACGGGGUUGGAGGGCCGCAGGCAGCCCACUGCUGCGGAAGGUGGGGAGGCCCCGGGUGGACGUCAGGCCAGCUGGCGUGCGGGAGUGAAUGCGGCCACCUAGGGUCCCUGAGGCCUGUGUGUGUGCGGGGGUAGGGGUUGUGUUACGGAGCGAAGGAGCCCAGCCCAGCAGGCCUGACCCCACAGCUGGGGGACACCUGUCCUCUGGUGACCCUGGGCCUGCAGGGACCUUCAGUUUAAGCCUGGGGCAGUCCUGCGUGGGGUUGGUCCCGCCUGGCGACAUGAGACCAGACGGGGGACCUGGGGAGGCCUAGGAGCUGCGCUUGGGAUGUGGCCCACCCUCCUGCUUUUGUAGAUGAGGAGGUGCAAAGCCUGGGGGCUUCCGGGUUUGGGGCAGAGGAACUUGGGGUGGGGGUUGCUGUGCUGGCCCUGAGUCGUCUGCAGGCCCUCUGCCAGAGAUCAGAGAACAGGCCCAGGUCCGCAGGUCAAAGGAAUGAAGGACGGGGUGUCUGGGGAGGCCCCCCAACAUCAUGCUCCUGUGGUAUGGUCCCUGUGCCCAGAAAGGUCAGUCCCAACAAAACCCGACUUGGGGAGACGUGCAGCUCGUGGGGUGCGAGGGCCGUCGGGAAGUGCCUGGGGUCCUCGGCAGUCCCACGUGGGAGGGGCACUGCCUCCCUCCAGACACCCCCACCCCCUUCCCAAGGGAGGGGAAGAGGAUGGAGCAAGGGACCCCGGAAGGAGAAGCCCCGCCAGGGCAAGGCCUGCCCACCACGCCCCAGCUACACGAAGCCAGGAAGCCACCCGACCUCUGAAAGAGCAACGAGGAGACAACAUCCGCCAUCGCUCCCUGCGACCAGCAGCUCCCAGAGCGGGGGGACCUCAGACACAGGUCAGGCGUAGGCACGAUUCACGGCGGCUCCGCGAGGCAAGCCCUCUUGCUUCUCCUUCCGGCAAGUGGACUCUGGAAUGCUCAGACACCUGCCCACAAGGUCCAAACCCUGGCUCAGGCCCUACCAACUGACAGCCACGUGGCUCUGCACAAGUCACUCUGUCUCCUCCUGAGCGGGAUGGGGGCAAAUGGCAAUGGGACACCUGCCACGCCUGGUGGUCCUGGGGAACGGGAAAUGGAGCGGGUGAAGGCCCGGCCCUGGUGUGCGCCCCAGAGGUGGAGGACGAGCCGAGGCACUUGCAUUCACCAGCUCCAGACUAAGACCUGACAACCUUCAGAAGAAAGUGCACUGAAACCCUGCUGUGACCCAGGGGCUCCUAAAACACUAAACGAGCUGUUCUUGAAAGAAGAAACAAAUGGGUAACCGGGACUGUAUCCUGAUUGAGAAUUUCUGAUUGCCACGAUACCACCAAGAGAUAAGAAGAUACGCCACGGGAUAGAAAAUACGUGCCCUUGGGGGCGCCUGGGUGGCUCAGUCGUUAAGCGUCUGAUCCCGGGGUCCUGGGAUCAAGCCCCGCAUCUGCUCCCUGCUCCGCGGGGAGCCUGCUU